GAAUAAAAAUAUAUAAUAAAAAGGAAGGUCCAUUAAAUGUUUAUUAAGAGAAUUACAAAUUUUUUACAUAAAUAUUUAUUUAUAAAUUAUAUAUAAAUAUAUAUAAUAAUAAAUUAUAUAAUUAUAUAUAAUAAUAUUUUCAUCCUUAAUGGGUGGGGAUGGGGACGAAUAUCAAAAUACCAUACCCGCCCCGUACCCGAUUUAAGAAUCCGAAUACUAAGGAUCCCCAUCCCCGUUACCCGUUUAUACCCGUAUAUCUUCCCCGUUAGGGUCGAAUACCCGUGGGUACCCUACCCGCUGGGGAUUAUUGCCAUCCCUAAAUCUAAACAGUUUCUUCUUCUACUUCUAUCAUCUCUAUCGAUCCAUAAUCAUCAUCGUUUUCUUCAUAUUUUUAUUUUUUCACUAACAGAUUAUGCAUCUUUUAAUAUUUCCCAUUUGAUUCACAGACUCUGCAUUUCGAGUGGAUUUCGAGUUCCCAAUAUGAGCAAAAAUCCUCCUCUCAAUUACAUAGCUCACCAUGAGCCUGUCAUCUCGCCAAAAUUUUUUUUUUCUGCAAAUAUUGUCCCAGCCACCCAUGUUCAUCACGAGGUAGCUCACCUCUAACCCCACCAUACUCACCGUUCUCCGACGAGUCUAGCCUGGCUCCGUGUCGUUCGGCGACUCUGGAAAGUAUCUCACGCACCGUCACCAUGGAUGCCCAGAAUUACUCUGGACACCCAGCGUUACCUCUCCGGUCAAAUUUUUUUCCGCCGCCAAGUAGCUGCAUAAGGCAGCUCACUCGUCCUUGAUGCUAUGGCAGCUCGCCUCCUCCAUCAUCUACGUCUUGCAUCCAAACAGAGGACGUAAGAGAAUCAUAUAUGGUGAUCGAGAAGAAGAACUAAGAAGAUGCAAUUGUCUUUGAGAGUGAACUAGAGGAAAAAACAAAAACAAGAUGACGAUGAGAAGAAUAAUAGGACCAACAAAAACUGGUCGGCAAAUUUGAAUCCAUUCAUUGAGUUAACCAUGGUUUAGUCAUAGUUAUGGGUUAUUAUAGGUGGCAACCUUUUAUUAGGUGGUCAUAUGACCAACAAAAACAAGAUGGGUGACAAAUUUGGAUCAAGGAGGAGAAGAGUUUUUUUUGAUAAAGAGGAGGAGAAGAGUUGAAAAGGAAGAAGGAAUAAUAAU
rnacentral:lncRNA from 1 species